AGCAGAGCCUGGUCCACACUUGGAUAGGUAGGACCAUUUCAUGGCCUCUCAGAUACACAGGCCCUUGACGUCUGGACCUGGCCACUCAUCCUGACACAGAUUAUCUUCCAAGUAUCUGGAGACACAGAUGUAGCUCUAGCAGAAGCCCGGAGAGCAGUUGCAGUUAGUGGUCCUGCCCCUCCCCAGCAGUCCUGAUGACCUGAUGCUCUGCAAAUUCCUGGGCUUCAUCACCCAGGGUCUCUACUCUGCAGGAGCCAAACAAGCUGGAUCAGUGAACGCUCAAUGUCAAUACUCAUGAAGAAUGGAGGCCGGCUCCUCCUGGCUUCUCUGCUUUGCUCUAGAGAUCUCAGCACUCUCAGGGCUUAGUCACAGUACUUCCAGAGCCUGUAGCUGGGUCGAUGCUCACUGCACCCUGGGAGUGUCCACUUGAUGGAGUCCUCGGGUUAUGUUCCCUAGGAGCCGGGUCUUGGGAACAUGAGCUUCUACAUGGAGUAGACACCUGUGAUCUCGGUUCUUUGCACACCCAUCAGCCCUGCUCCUGGAUCCGGUCUCUUCACACUGGAUUCUGAGUGCAGAUGCCUACUGGUUCUUCACCUAGUGCUGGGAUUCCUGAGCUCCUCGCUGGCUAUCAGGAAGCUACUCCUCCACUGCAACCAGGCUGAGGAGGCGCUGAGUGAAAAUGUGAAAAGAAGACGUCAUCAGGAGUGUCUAAGAAGAGAAAGGGAGUUGAACAAUUGUUACCGCUUCAGCCUGAGAUAAUUUUUCAGCUGAAUUGCUAAAAUAGGAAGAAUCUGGCCUUUUCUACUUUAGGAAAACAAUGUUCUGGAGAUGAAGCUUUUAAAGAAAAUGCUAUCUGAAUGUGUAUUGAAACAAGAAUAAUUGAGCAGCCAUUGUUCUGGCCCAUUCCUUGCAAGUCUGGAAGGUUUCUGAAGUUGAGGCUCUAAUUAAAAGAAAAUUUUUCUUCUCAGAUGCAUCUCAGUGGUAUUGUUCUGUUUUAUCCCAUGGGGAGCUUGCGGGUGCCAGGCCACCCACAGCAAGGAUGUCUGGACUCUGGGGUCUGUGUCUGAUGUGAACCUGGAGCGAGGCAGCCCCAGCAAAUGUCCGGAGGGUCACUGCGUGUCUGGUGGGGACAGAGGAUCUGAGGACGCUCGUCCACUUCACACUGCACGACAACAGUGGAAAGCACGAGCUUCCUCCUGCAGAGUCGUCACCCUCUCAGGGAGCCUGGGUCAGAGCUGCCCCUCUGCAGAGGGACCAGCGGACUCGCCGUGUGUUUCCAUGGGAGAUGCCCCAACCUCAGACACGAGGCUCUUCUCCAGGGUGUGGGUUCCAGGCAGGAAUGAGCCUCUUACAGGCGCUGUCAUGUGUCUGGGGGCACUUCGUGUUUCCUGGCCCAGGAGGUCUCAGGGGAGGACUGGGGCCAGAAAGGCAGGUGCAGGAGCGAGCGUGGACUUGAGUUCCCCUGACCUCCCUGGGCUCCUCCUCAGCUGGGUGGGUGUCAUCACAGUGCCUGCCUCUUGGGGGCGCUGUGGGGUUACAGGGGAUGAUGUGUCUCCUGGGUUUGCAGAGCUGUAAAGGGGGCUUUGCUCCGUGAGCAGAUGUGAGGGAGUGACCAGGUGGCAACCACGUCCCGAGUCAGUGAGGAUGGGCUGUGCACCUGGUC
ensembl:lncRNA